CCCUUAGAUGUUCUGGGCUGCACGCGUGCUACACUGAUUAUUUCAACAAGUGUUUUAACUGGAGAGUUUGCGUAAUCCUGAAAUGUUAUCGUGAUGGGAGUAGAGUAUUGUAUUUGUUAAUCUUUAACGAGGAAUUCCUAGUAAGUGUAGAUUUAUAAGUUGUUCUGAUUACGUCCCUGCCCUUUGUACACACCGCCCGUCGCUCCUACCGAUUGAUUGAUCCGGUGAAUUACAUAGAAUUUUGCGUUUUACAUGACGGAAGACGAAGUGUUUUAAACCUUAUCAUUUAGAGGAAGGAGAAGUCGUAACA
rnacentral:rRNA from 1 species